UACGAAGGGGGCUAGCGUUGCUCGGAAUUACUGGGCGUAAAGCGCACGUAGGCGGCUUUCUAAGUCGGGGGUGAAAUCCUGGAGCUCAACUCCAGAACUGCCUUCGAUACUGGAGAGCUUGAGUCCGGGGGAGGUGAGUGGAACUGCGAGUGUAGAGGUGAAAUUCGUAGAUAUUCGCAAGAACACCAGUGGCGAAGGCGGCUCACUGGCCCGGUACUGACGCUGAGGUGCGAAAGCGUGGGGAGCAAACAGG
rnacentral:rRNA from 1 species